rnacentral:lncRNA from 1 species
GAUCUGUCUUAGGGGACUCUGGGUGGUGCCUAGGAGGACCUGCAGAGGAGUUUCUGCCUCUCUGCUCAGGCCAGUUCUCCAGCGCCCUCUGUGGCGGCUGAGAGCAGGCCCUCUAAGGAAGAGAGCUCCGGGCAUAGAGAGCUCAGGCCUGCAGCAGAGGGAGUGCAGAUGUGGGGGAAGCUGACCCUGGAGUUAACAGGCUCAGACCUUAAAGGGGGUAGUCUCACAGCAGGUUCACACCCAGCACUUCAGAGUUUCAGCAAGUAAGGCAACUGCAAGACCCUCAUUCUGCCGGGAAGCUUCUGAUUAGGGCCCUAAACCACCAUCCUUUUCACAUCUGCAAGGACACUAGAGGCAACACCCAGGGUCACUCUGAGAGGGCCUGAACCUGCUUUAUUAACAGGAUCGAGGGUCAGGACCGAAGUAAGUCGUGAUGCAGGAAAUGAGUGCGUUUCACAGCUUGCUGAGCCCCUACUCGACCCAGGAAGCCCAGCUGGCCCCUCCUCUCAACAGGAGUGAGAAUCAGCUCAAAUUUUGCAGUUUCUGCUGUCAUCACAGCUGGGAAUGAGAAAGGGAAGGGGCUCCAGUUGGUCUCCCUCUGCCUCUGGAGCACACGUGGAGGACAUGAGGCUUCCGCAGGAACAGCUCUGAAAGCUGAGUUCUCGGGUCCCUGUGAAGGAGGGAAGCUUGCCUGCCUUGGAGCGUGAAAAAGUCUUGCUGGACAGAAGUCUCACGGUUUAAAACUGGGAAGGGAGAGGAUUGAGAUCACACUAGAAUGCACAGAAAAUUCUUAAAACAAAAAAAUGAGAGAAACUUCAUCAGAAUGUGAAAAGAACUAUAAAGCUACAGUGCUGAAGAGAGGGCAAUACUGGCACUAGAAUGAGAAGAUUCAUGGAACACAGUGGAAAAUGCAGUAAGAGAGCUGCAUACACAUGGAGGCAACCACUCAAGGCCACUCUGAGAAGGGUUGAACGUGCUUUAAAUUAAAAGGACUGAGGAUCAUGUGUGUUGGUGUGUCUUGGACUCUGCUCUAAGACUCAUGGAGGCAACCACUCAAGGUCACUCUGAGAAGGGUUGAACGUGCUUUAUUAAAAGGACUGAGGAUCAUGUGUGUUGGUGUGUCCCGGAGUCUGCUCUAAGGCCCUGUGGCUGCCUGGUGCCCUGGGAAUGGUCCGGUCAUGGGCCUCAGCCCAGGAUGAGCAGCCAACAAUGCAAUCCCACGAAGAGUGUGCGGAAGGGAGAGGUUACUUCUCAAGAUGGAGCUGCCAAAUAGGGACACUUUGGAGAGUCUGGCCUGAGAACUUUUAGUUUCAAGAAUGUAUUGCUUUGGAAAAGACAGAAUAAAAGUCCAAGCACUGCCACUUAGAGGUUGUAUGUCCUUGGGAAAGUCACUGUACUUGGCAAUUAUAACCUUUACCCUGGAUACACCAUUCAUCUCCUGGGGCCAGGGGUUGUGCCACCUUGUUCAUUUCUAAACUAAAUGAUAUCUAAGCUAGUCUUUACCACAGUUUAAUUCUUACAAUAAUACUCCAAAGGAGAUAUAAUCAACCACAUUUCACAGAUGAGAGAGUUGGAAUCUUAAAAAGGUUAAACUCUUCGAGGUCAUUUGACGAAUAAAUAAUGGAGCCUGGAUUUCAACUGAAGUCUAACAAAUUCCAAAAUCCUGGCUACCGGCCAUUUAUAUUCGUGUGUGUGUGUAUAUAUAUAUAUAUAAAUUAUAUAACAUAUAUA